rnacentral:rRNA from 1 species
AACGAACGCUGGCGGCAGGCUUAACACAUGCAAGUCGAACGCUCGUGGCAAUACGGGAGUGGCAGACGGGUGAGUAACGCGUGGGAACGUGCCCAAAGGUACGGAACAACUCCGGGAAACUGGAGCUAAUACCGUAUGUGCCCGAAAGGAGGAAGAUUUAUCGCCUUUGGAUCGGCCCGCGUCGGAUUAGCUAGUUGGUGGGGUACUCGACUACCAAGGCGACGACCCGUAUCUGGUCUGAGAGGAUGAUCAGCCACACGGGGACUGAGACACGGCCCAGACUCCUACGGGAGGCAGCAGUGGGGAAUAUUGGACAAUGGGCGCAAGCCUGAUCCAGCCAUGCCGCGUGAGUGAUGAAGGCCUUAGGGUUGUAAAGCUCUUUCGCCAGGGACGAUAAUGACGGUACCUGGAUAAGAAGCCCCGGCUAACUUCGUGCCAGCAGCCGCAGUAA